UGGGAUGCAGCUCAGAGGUAGAGCACUUGCCUAGCACGCAUAGGCCCUGGGUUCCAUCCUCAGCACCUCAU
rnacentral:tRNA from 1 species